rnacentral:rRNA from 2 species
CGUAACAAGGUCUCCGUUGGUGAACCAGCGGAGGGAUCAUUACUGAGUUACCGCUCAUCAACCCUUUGUGAACAUACCUUAACUGUUGCUUCGGCGGGUAGGCGUCCCCUAAAAAGGACGUCUCCCGGCCCUCUCCCGUCCGCGGGUGGGGCGCCCGCCGGAGGAUAACCAAACUCUGAUUUAACGACGUUUCUUCUGAGUGACACAAGCAAAUAAUCAAAACUUUUAACAACGGAUCUCUUGGUUCUGGCAUCGAUGAAGAACGCAGCGAAAUGCGAUAAGUAAUGUGAAUUGCAGAAUUCAGUGAAUCAUCGAAUCUUUGAACGCACAUUGCGCCCGCCAGCAUUCUGGCGGGCAUGCCUGUUCGAGCGUCAUUUCAACCCUCAAGCUCUGCUUGGUGUUGGGGCUCUACGGUUGACGUAGGCCCUUAAAGGUAGUGGCGGACCCUCUCGGAGCCUCCUUUGCGUAGUAACAUUUCGUCUCGCAUUGGGAUUCGGAGGGACUCUAGCCGUAAAACCCCCAAUUUUACUAAGGUUGACCUCGGAUCAGGUAGGAAUACCCGCUGAACUUAAGCAUAUCAAU